rnacentral:rRNA from 1 species
AUUGAACGCUGGCGGCAGGCCUAACACAUGCAAGUCGAGCGAGCGGCGGACGGGUGAGUAAUGCCUGGGAACCUGCCUGAUGGAGGGGGAUAACUACUGGAGCCGGUAGCUACUACCGCAUACCAUCAGAUGUGCCCAGAUGGGAUUAGCUAGUAGGUGGGUUAACGGCUCACCUAGGCGACGAUCCCUCGCUGGUCUGAGAGGAUGACCAGCCACACUGGAACUGAGACACGGUCCAGACGCCUACGGGAGGCAGCAGUGGGGAAUAUUGCACAAGGGGCGCAAGCCUGAUACAGCCAUGCCGCGUGUGUGAAGAAGGCCUUCGAGUUGUAAAGCACUUUCAGCGGGGAGGCGUUACCCGCAGAAGAAGCACCGGCUAACUCCGUGCCAGCAGCCGCGGUAAUAC